rnacentral:rRNA from 1 species
AUUGAACGCUGGCGGCGUGCCUAAUACAUGCAAGUCGAACGGUAGCACAGGGAGCUUGCUCUCGGGCGACGAGUGGCGGACGGGUGAGUAAUGUCUGGGAAACUGCCCGAUGGAGGGGGAUAACUACUGGAAACGGUAGCUAAUACCGCAUAACGUCGCAAGACCAAAGAGGGGGACCUUAGGGCCUCUUGCCAUCGGAUGUGCCCAGAUGGGAUUAGCUUGUAGGUGAGGUAACGGCUCACCUAGGCGACGAUCCCUAGCUGGUCUGAGAGGAUGACCA